ACUCCUGCGGGAGGCAGCAGUGGGGAAUAUUGCACAAUGGGCGCAAGCCUGAUGCAGCCAUGCCGCGUGUAUGAAGAAGGCCUUCGGGUUGUAAAGUACUUUCAGCGGGGAGGAAGGCGAUAAGGUUAAUAACCUUGUCGAUUGACGUUACCCGCAGAAGAAGCACCGGCUAACUCCGUGCCAGCAGCCGCGGUAAUACGGAGGGUGCAAGCGUUAAUCGGAAUUACUGGGCGUAAAGCGCACGCAGGCGGUCUGUCAAGUCGGAUGUGAAAUCCCCGGGCUCAACCUGGGAACUGCAUUCGAAACUGGCAGGCUAGAGUCUUGUAGAGGGGGGUAGAAUUCCAGGUGUAGCGGUGAAAUGCGUAGAGAUCUGGAGGAAUACCGGUGGCGAAGGCGGCCCCCUGGACAAAGACUGACGCUCAGGUGCGAAAGCGUGGGGAGCAAACAGGAUUAGAAACCCGUGUAGUCCC
rnacentral:rRNA from 1 species